rnacentral:lncRNA from 1 species
UCCCGCCCGAGCGUCCCCGCCGUCGGUGGCCGCGCCGCUGCCCACCGGCCGCCGGCCAGAGGUGAGUUCUUUCCAGCUAAAGAGCAGGCCUGGAGUCCUUUCGGUGCUGCAAGUUUGUGAAGCUCUGAUGUUAUCAUCAUCCCAGUUUCCCUUCUUCAGAUAUGCAGAAUUCUUCCUUGUUCGUUGGAUGCUUGAGCAGGGAAAUGAUUUUCCUGGAAAGGCAUCUCUACUGAAUCAGGUGUUGAAAAAUGUUCUCUUGUGUGUGUUUCAGUGCGAACUCGGAUCAGUUGCUGCUCCAAACCCAACAAUUCGGAGGAAGAACCCGCAAGAAGCGAGUCUCCCAGCGAUGCCAAGGUUGGUCGUGCAUUUACUACUCUUCUUUUCUUAUAGUUGUCUCUGUUUCAACCAUACAAAUUCAUCUAGCCAUAAGGUGGAGAAUGCAAAGAGUGGGGACACUGUCAUUCAUAUUUGGCGUGGUAAUACCAUAAUAAACAGUCAGAAACCUUACGGUCUUGCAACAUCUUCAGAAUCAAUAUUCUGCUCCAGUCGGGCUCUACGUAUACCCUGUUUUUUAGUGGAAUAUGUAGUAUAUCCUGUCGAUCAUGGAUUAUCUAAAAAAAGGCUUUCAAAUUAGAAAGUUCUUCAAAUUGUACAAGUAAAUAAUCCUUGAGAGAUGUUUAUGGCGAAUGUCAACUGUCAGUCUGCACAAGACACAAGUGAUGUAUACAUGAUCCCCAAAUGGUGAACAGUACCAUUCUGCAAAAUAAAAUGCCUCAAGAACCAAAAGGGGCAUGAACAAUUUGUGGGCUUUUUUGUUACAGCUCUAUAAAAAACUUCUCCAGGCUCGUUUUGCUUUCAAGUCUCAUGCGCGUUUUCUUUCUCAUACAGGAUGAAGAAAAUAUUAGCUCCAGACGACGAUGUGUAGCUUGCAUGUGUGUUGUAAC